CAGCCGCCGCGGUAAUACGUAGGUGGCAAGCGUUGUCCGGAAUUAUUGGGCGUAAAGGGCUCGCAGGCGGUCUCUUAAGUCUGAUGUGAAAGCCCCCGGCUCAACCGGGGAGGGUCAUUGGAAACUGGGAAACUUGAGUGCAGAAGAGGAGAGUGGAAUUCCACGUGUAGCGGUGAAAUGCGUAGAGAUGUGGAGGAACACCAGUGACGAAGGCGACUCUCUGGUCUGUAACUGACGCUGAGGAGCGAAAGCGUGGGGAGCGAACAGGAUUAGAUACCCCGGUAGUCCCUGUCUCUUAUAC
rnacentral:rRNA from 1 species